CUCACCCGUCCCACGUCCUGCGUCGCCGGUCCCCGCGGCGGGCUGGCGGCGUGCCUUCUCCUCCCAGCGCCUCGCAUCCCCAGGGAUCCGGCCACCUCUCCCCGCCUCCCGGGCCGCCCGCUGUUGGCAGCCCCCGAAGCGCAAGUCUGGUGGUGGCCCAGCCGCCCGAAGACAUGGCCGGGGUUUUCUCCCCAUCUCCGGCCGUCAACCCGAGCCCAUCCCGAGGCUGAGUGGGCACCCCGGGCCGCCGCGGACCCCGUCCCCCAGCGCCUAUGGUGGACUCGAGAGGAGCUUUGUCUGCGGAGCAGCACCCACCAGCAGAGCCGUCUUAAGCUCUGGGAAGGACGCCACUCCCCGGAGCCCUUUGGAGGGACGUCAGGCCAGCCCCAGGCCUCUGCUUAAUCCUCGCCCCCCGCCUCAACUUCCUGACACUGGAGAAAUACUUUUCUCCUAAGUCUACCCUGGACACUUUUGAGGGUGCCUGGAGAGAACGUUCCUCUCCACCAUGGCCCCUGUGUGGUGAAGAUCAACAGACAUUGUUUCGGGGGGGAAAAAGUUUAUUAAAAAAUUCUAUUAUUUUAUCUCCUGUAAAGUUUAUUGGCUCAGGAUCUCCAAAGUGGGAGAAGGGCUUAGAACCAUCGCGCUUUCAGGGGCCGGGAGAGUUAGACAGCAAUCGAGAGCCAUUGCACAGCAUCCAAGCGCUUCCCGCUGUUGCCCCUACAAGAAGAAACUGAAGGCGGAGGAAGGAGGGGGGUGACUGUGGAGUCCCCGGCAGGUCAGGGAAAUCCGAGAGCCAGGAGUGUGCUGAUCACACCUCGCCUCCUCAUCUGUCCAGGAGAAGCGGCUGCAGCCGACCCUGAAUUGUCUGUGCCGGAGGAGCCAGGCCUGGGGAAGGCCUCCAGCCUGGCUAAUAGGUCUCUCCCAGGGCCUGGGACUUGGGAUUUUUUUUCUUCCAACCCCCACCCCACGAAUCCUGGCUCCUGCAAAUAGGGGGUGGGAAACAUCACCCUUAAGAGACUCCGGUGCCUCCCAGCGUCUGCGGCCAGCAUUUCACUCCACCCUGAGCCUCUUCUCACCUGCUAUUCUGUGGCCUAGGAUCUCCCAGCGCCAGGACUCGAGGUUGCUCCUCUGUUCGCUCGCAGAGGUGGAGCAAACAGGGCUUCCUCCCGGGGGGUCCUCUCUGCCUGCCUCUGCCCCGCCAGCCCCUCGGUUUUCGGAACCUUGGGGGCGACAAGUCCCCAUGGCCACCCCUUCCCCCCCCCCGUUUCUGUCUCUCCCUGACUGCUGCCCACGCCUGAGCCUUCAGCACCCCUGGGGUACCCCAGACCCCCAUUCCAGGGGGGCCUGGGCGUGGUGGGGGGGCGGCGG
rnacentral:lncRNA from 1 species